UACGAAGGGGGCUAGCGUUGCUCGGAAUCACUGGGCGUAAAGGGUGCGUAAGGCGGGUCUUUUAAGUCAGGGGUGAAAUCCUGGAGCUCAACUCCAGAACUGCCUUUGAUACUGAGGAUCUUGAGUUCGGGAGAGGUGAGUGGAACUGCGAGUGUAGAGGUGAAAAUUCGUAGAUAUUCGCAAGAACACCAGUGGCGAAGGCGGCUCACUGGCCCGAUACUGACGCUGAGGCACGAAAGCGUGGGGAGCAAACAGG
rnacentral:rRNA from 1 species